rnacentral:rRNA from 1 species
AGACGAACCGUCCAAACGUUAUUCGGAAUCACUGGGCUUCAAGGGUGCGUAGGCGGCACGGCAAGUUGGGUGUGAAAGCCCUCGGCUCAACCGAGGAAUUGCGCCCAAAACUGCCGCGCUCGAGGGAGACAGAGGUGAGCGGAACUUAGGGUGGAGCGGUGGAAUGCGUUGAUAUCCUAAGGAACACCGGUGGCGAAAGCGGCUCACUGGGUCUCUUCUGACGCUGAGGCACGAAAGCUAGGGGAGCGAACGGGAUUAGAUACCCCAGUAGUCC